AGAAAAACGAAAAAUCAGGAUAAAGCUUCUAACUUUUUUCCUAAGCGGCGCACCUCCGUUUGUUUUUC
rnacentral:tRNA from 1 species